AAAAAAAAAAAGAAAAGCAGGAUUUGAAAAUGUUUCUAGAAAAAUCAUUAAAAACAGUUGUAUGCCAGACAAUCCUCCUGCUCCUUAUCACAAGAUACGGUUUAAAUUGAAAUAGGAAUAUUUUCAACGCAAAGAAAGUUCUUAAAAGCUAAAACCGUUAAAAAUUCUUUUUAUAAAUAAAACAAAAAUAUUUGGAAACUUCAGAGAGUAAAUAAAUAACAAUUGAGAGCAGCAUGCAUGCAAUGGAUAUGUUGUAGACAAGUUUUUCCUCGAGUGAGCUGGAGACAGUGGAGAUUUGCACUUGAAUCCAAAACAGAUGCUUCCACUUUUCACCUGAAAAUGCCAAAUUCUACGUGUCCUAAUAUAAGAUAAUGUUGAAACAUUAAAAUACCACUUAUUUUCAUCAGCUCUACACAAGAAUUCUAAAACACAUACACAGAGCCACACAUGCUCACAUAUAUAUAUACCAUAUAUUCUAUACACAUAUUUGUUUGCAUUUAUUCAUGGUUGAAUAAUUAAAUUUUAAUUUUAUAUUUAUUUAAAUUGACUUUAUGCGAGCAAAUUGCAGCCUGAAAUUUGAACGGUUGGACGAAUUUUUUAGAGUUAGCUCGCUCUAGGAGCAAUUGGAUAAGAAAAACAAUACAAAAUAGCCUUCAACUGCUUUAAAAAGAACUUCCCCUGAAUGAACAGUUAACUAUACAAUGUGAUUCACAAGUUAAAAGCAUUUAUCAUCUAAUUAACAUAUAGAAUAGGGCUUUUUUUAGCUCGUGCCAGAAACUAUUUAUAUUUGAUAACAAAAAAAGUAUAUAAAAUUUGUAUAAUUUUGUAUAUAACAUACAGAAUGUACAUAUAUACAAAAGAUAUACAAAAAAAUAUAUUUUUUCGGCUAUUUAUUGAAAGCGGCUAUAUAGUAGCAUUUUUCCUCUAAUAAAUACAUUUUGAAGAAAAAUAAAAGUUGUGUUCGUGUUGGUCUCUUAUCAACUAGAGUAUAAAUCACAGUAAAUAGCAUAAUUUUAAAUCUAUUUAUAUUAAUAUUUUUUAAAAAAUUAAUAUAUGUAACUGAAUAUGAAAUAAAUAUUAUGAAAAAAGAAAUUUCUUUUUUUCAGAAUUUUUUUUUAAAAAUGUAUUUGUCCAUGAAAUUUUACAAGUUUUUGAAAUUUUUUCGAAAAUAAGUUUUUCAAAAAUCAAAAAGUGGUUUUGAACACUUUUUCAAAAUGUUCCAAAAUACUUUUUUCCUCACUAACAAAACUACAAUAUUUAUGUUUAAAGGGAAAUACAUGUUCAAACAUAAUUUGAAAUACCAUUUUUCAAUUUAAAUCUAAAUGAGUAUUUUUUUUCAAAAAUUACAAUUCUUAUCUUCAAACGCCUACUUAAAAUUCUGUAUUUUUUCAAGUGGAAAAUCUUUUCCUGUUCUCACAUUGGCACAGAUAUUAUAUUUAGUAUCUCUUCUCUCUUGAUUAUAUAAAAGUUUUGAACAUAUAUAAAGAUCAAAAAGGAUUAAAAAAGAAUUAUUUCCUUGACCAGCUAUAAAAAUUAACUUACAACAGAUACUUCAAGCUAUGAAUUAUUCUCACAUAUAUAUGAGAAUCAAUUCCUAUUAAAGCAGAGUUUCUUCCAAUAAAUAAAUUAAUAAGACAAACAUCUCAAAAUUUAUCACCUGCUGUAUCCCAGUAGCAACGCCAACAAAUAAAAAUCAGUUUAACUACUUCAAAAUUAUUAGAAAUCACAAAGUAGGAGCGCCAUAGAUAAAUUCUCAUGCGAUGGAAAUUAUUAAUAUUGUUACCUUUUAGAAUUGCUAGACUUGACAUAAUCAAAGAUAAAUUGACAGAAAUUCAUGAUUAAUUUGCAUUUUUGGAAAACAGAAUGUAUAUGUAAAUGCUAAAGAAUAACCGAAUAAACAUGUGUAAUUGGCAAUCAAGUCAAAAAUAAGAAAGAGAAAGUGAAAGUAGUCAACAAAAAAGUUAAAAGUAAAAAGUUUAAAAUGAUAGAAACUAAAAGAACUCAAUUAUAUCCAACAGAAUGUAUAUCUUAUAUACAGCAAAUUAAAUGAAAGAACGGUUUCAAGAUAAGACUUGAAAUUAAUUAACUCAAAAAACAAGGAUUCAUUUUCGAUACAAAGUUUUACCGAAGUACAAAAUUUGUCAAUGCUCUGCUUAAGCUUUGGCAGCUAAACUUCAAGUUCAAUGAUAUAAAUUGUGUAGAAACACAGUAAACUUAAUUAGGUAUAAACGUGCGAGAAGAACGUCGACAUUUUAUUCGAAAGCAUCCAUACACUACAACCUCAGAGGAAAAGGAAAAGGAAAAGGCAAGAUCGAGAUUAGGGAAUUAUAUAUAAAAUGAUAGCUAGAAGUGGAAAUUAAGUCGUAAAUGCAGGUUUUAUAAUCCUCUAAAGAUACCAAAAACAUGCCAAUUCCAUGCAAACGUACCAUGCAUAAGUAUUUGUCACUGUUUCUCAAGAAUCAUCUUUAGCAGAAUUUAUCAAGACGUUGAUGUUGCUUAAUGCUGUAGUGCUUUAAUUUGAUGCUGAAUACUUCUGUUUUCCUUCUUCCUCACUAUUAUUUUCUCACCACCUUAGCAAGAGUACUUUAUAUAAUAUUCUCCUGCUUCCUUCACAUUACAAAGAAUUUAUAUAGGCUCAUGGCUGUACUCUUAGGCUGUACUUUGCCCAACAGUGGAGUAACUACAAAAAUAAAGAGGACUCAGCAACCCACGCGUACAAGCCCUACCCUACCAAAAGAAAACAAAACACACACACGAAAAAAAAACUCUCACGUUUAAUUCUAAUGGUAUAUACUAAUCAAGAUACUCCAAUAAGAAAAAGAAUAAAUGGAAUUAACAAAAUGAACAGUGGUAAAAAUAGAAAAAGGAGCAUGUGUAAACGGUGUGUUGCUUACGAAAGAGUUGAAAUUCUUGAAAAUUGCUGGCUACAGAUAUUAGCUAGAUUCCUGCAUGGUCUUGGAUGAUGUUUCAAUGUCCUUUAGUGCGUUAUAA
rnacentral:lncRNA from 1 species